rnacentral:rRNA from 1 species
UACGAAGGGGGCUAGCGUUGCUCGGAAUCACUGGGCGUAAAGCGCACGUAGGCGGAUCUUUAAGUCAGAGGUGAAAUCCCAAGGCUCAACCUUGGAACUGCCUUUGAUACUGGGGAUCUCGCGUCCGGAAGAGGUGAGUGGAACUGCGUGUGUAGAGGUGAAAUUCGUAGAUAUUCGCAAGAACACCAGUGGCGAAGGCGGCUCACUGGCCCGAUACUGACGCUGAGGCACGAAAGCGUGGGGAGCAAACAGG